CCCCAGGUUCCACCGCGCGCGGGGUUCCAUUGUACAGAGGAGCAGGUCUGCAGCUCUCCCGCUGAUUGUGUGUAAUUGCCGGCCGAGGGCGUCAACACUAACAGCCUCUUCAAGUGCGAAACGGCCUCUCCCCUCAUUCUCUGCCUCUCCUUUUCUACCUGCUCUGAUCGGGAGGUCAAUUGAACGCGACGGACACGCGGGCAGCUGCCGCCGCGGAUCUUUGUAACGCAUUUUGUUAGCGGAAAAGGAAAAGCAGCGUGAGGAUAUGUUGCACUCCCCAGCAGCCCGGCUGAUUUUUAUCUGUCUGUGAAACACCUCGGCUGGAAGGGGACAAAGGGAGGGGCCGCACUUUGGUCACCAGAGAGGUGUUUUCCUUGGCAGUGGAAUGUGUUCGGUGUGCAGCUUGCUCUGUGCAGAGUCUCAACUGGAAGCGGUUAUUCCAGAAACAGGAAAACGCUCCAAAUAAUAUGGCAACACAUGGCCCCUUCUGAAGCUGCCUGUUGCCAAGACAGAAUGCAGUAUUCACAACUGAUUGUGUGUGUGUUUGUUUGCAGUUAUAACAGAACGUAUUCAGGCACUCGCCAGUGGAGAUUUCAAGCGCAGAUGUGACCUAUGCAUCCCUCAUUCUUUUUAAAUUACAGUUUCACAGAGUGAUGCAAAAUGUCUUAGUACCUUCAAACUUUUAGCAGCAAUCUUCAUCAGCGAUGGCUAAUUAAAGUACUAAUGUAUGUCCCUGGAAGUCUGCAGGAAAGCAGAUUAAAAAUAGCCGUGCGAGCUGUUUGUAUUUAAAAAUAUUUAGUCUGUUGAUUGUGUGAUUUGGACUUAAAAUUUAACAGUAAUCAUUUCCCCGUGUUGCAGUCUGUUGGUUUUAAUUAAGCUGCGCUUGUUUGUGACACAGUGAGGGUGGAAAGGCACAACUGUUGUAACGAUCUCAUCAUAAUGAAAAUAGAAAUUAUUAAAAAAAACUCAAACAGCUUCAGAACUGCAGUCUAAAUUGUACAAACUAAAAUCUAUAGUGUUGUUUGUUUGUCACCUACAGGCUAUCUGGUUCUUUUAAACUGGAUUAGAAAAUCUCAACUGAUUUAGUGAAAUCACUCUUAAAGUUAGAGCACAAAGGUGCUACCGCUAUCUGCUGCUUGACAUGUACUAUACUCUUAUUUUCCUUUGGUGUAUUCUCCAGGUGAGCAAUAAGUAACCUACUGCACAACCUACAAACUGCUGUGGGACUUAAGAAGAGGUAGUAAAACCAGAAACAAAAUCUGUGAUAGGUGAAUGUGUAUUUUGAAUCACUUUCAAUAACUGCACAGUGCACACUUCCUUUUUUCCUGUCCUCUGUUCAUAUCAGGAGGUAGCUUUGUAUCCAAGUGACCUGUCUGACUCCUGCUCGAGACCCUUUUCCAAACUCCCUUCUUCCAGUGUCAUCCCACCAAAAACAAUGAUUGCGCGGAGCUGUGCCAGUCUUUGAAAUGCCUCUCGAAUCCUAACGAGAAAUUAUUUUAACUGAGGCUAUGAAAUCACUAACUUUAGAUAUUUAAAAAAAAAAAAAAAGACAAUUCUUUGCUUGAUCUGAAUCACAAAACUAAUUUAGCAGACAAUUUAGGACAGAUUAGCUUUUCAAGACUGUAUGACCUUAAAUGAAGUAACAAACAGCAGCCAAGAACAACACACUGACUUCAUGCGUCAGUGUGUUGGAGGAGGGCACUUAUCGUCUAUCGGUUAAAAAGAUCAUUCCCUCGGCUUGCAGAGUCAUUUUGGUCAAUGAUUAAAGUGAAUAUUUGUAAUGGGUUUUGUGGAAUUAACUGAGCAGACCACUUGGAUUCAGAAAAAGGGGGUCAUCCAUUACUGUUGUCACUGUUUGAUUUGCAACUAUUUGGCGUUGGCAUUUAUCCAGAGUAACUCAUGUUUGAGGAGUGGUUUAGGGUUCGGUGCUGGGCUUGAGUAAACUUGAAUAUAAGGAACAAAUUCCCAAUCGUUCUAUUAAUGGCCAGCAUCCUCUUUCAUGAAAUACAUCUGUAUCUGUAUCUGAGGCUUAUAAAGCAAAAGAGUACAGUAGUUGAGAAUGAGUGUGGACAGCCAGUGUAUUUGGAGAUUGUAAACAGACUGUAUAUAAAAGAUGGAAGCGCAUUAGCUUUGCACUCUUUCUAAUGGCCAGCAGAGGGCAUUAGGAAUGACCUCGGUAAACAUUUUUCUGAGAGGUUCGCAGUCUCAGUCGCUGGUUUCUUAUUGGACACAGCAUUUUGUAAAUUAUGAUCAGCAUCAGCCAAAAGGAGGAGAAAACAAGGUGUUUUAGAGUAACAAUGACCUUUGAUUUCUUUUUUUCUGGUUCCAAAACACACUUAUCGUGAGGCUUUACAAAUGGACUUUGCUAACCAAAAAGUACAAACAGCUUGGCUACAGCCGUCUUAACACACAACGUAUAGUUCUAACUCACUCUUGAAUCCUCUUCCCUGUAGCUAUUUUGUAUUUUGUGUCCACUCCCACCACUUUCCAUUAUCACUAUCACUCUACAUGGUCCGUUUUUGACAAAUCCCUCCAUACAUACAGGCGCUGACAAGAAAGUGCUUUGACUCCAAAAAUAAUCUAAAACCUCUUGGGGAAAAUUAUCAACAGAUCCUAUUGUUUUGCUGCUUGGCGCUGUUCCAAGAAGGACUGUUUGUCCAAGUGUGCAACGGCUUCUUUGCAGAAGGUCCGAUUUGGCGUGUAAGGAAAGUUUAGUCGGAUAUUUCCAAGCAGCAACAUGUGGUUCUUAGGGGGUAAAAAUAAUAAUUUUUGCACCUUAAAAACAAAACAAAAA